GUCCAGCCGUGAUGAGAAGCGAGUGGGUGUGUCCGCUUCCGCCCGCUGGCCUUCAGACGAAGCAGAGCGCCUGGAAGCGCCGGAGCCCCACGGGGAUGGGGAGUGAGACCGCGGCUGCCGGCGGCUGCCCAGAUUCCUCCUGACGCCCCCGACCCCGCCGCCUCUCCCGCUGGUCCCCGGAGACGUACGCCUUCGCGACAGCUAGGAGAGCGAAGAGCCCCGAGAGGCCACCGGAACCCCGAGACCCGGCGCUCAGGACAG
rnacentral:lncRNA from 1 species